GAUGAACGCUGGCGGCGUGCCUAAUACAUGCAAGUCGAGCGAACGGACGAGAAGCUUGCUUCUCUGAUGUUAGCGGCGGACGGGUGAGUAACACGUGGAUAACCUACCUAUAAGACUGGGAUAACUUCGGAAAACCGGAGCUAAUACCGGAUAAUAUUUUGAACCGCAUGGUUCAAAAGUGAAAGACGGUCUUGCUGUCACUUAUAGAUGGAUCCGCGCUGCAUUAGCUAGUUGGUAAGGUAACGGCUUACCAAGGCAACGAUGCAUAGCCGACCUGAGAGGGUGAUCGGCCACACUGGAACUGAGACACGGUCCAGACUCCUACGGGAGGCAGCAGUAGGGAAUCUUCCGCAAUGGGCGAAAGCCUGACGGAGCAACGCCGCGUGAGUGAUGAAGGUCUUCGGAUCGUAAAACUCUGUUAUUAGGGAAGAACAUACGUGUAAGUAACUGUGCACAUCUUGACGGUACCUAAUCAGAAAGCCACGGCUAACUACGUG
rnacentral:rRNA from 1 species